UGGGUUUGACAUAUACCGGAAAGCCGUAGAGAUACGGCCCCCCUUGUGGUCGGUAUACAGGUGGUGCAUGGCUGUCGUCAGCUCGUGUCGUGAGAUGUUGGGUUAAGUCCCGCAACGAGCGCAACCCUCGCCCCUAGUUGCCAACGGGUCAGGCCGGGAACUCUAGGGGGACUGCCCCGGUUAACGGGGAGGAAGGUGGGGAUGACGUUCGUCA
rnacentral:misc_RNA from 1 species